GAGGCAAUUAGUUCUUUUAUUUUGAAAAUAAAAGGUUGAGAUGGUAGUAAAUUUCUUGCUUUU
rnacentral:tRNA from 1 species